rnacentral:rRNA from 1 species
UAGGGAAUCUUCGGCAAUGGACGAAAGUCUGACCGAGCAACGCCGCGUGAGUGAAGAAGGUUUUCGGAUCGUAAAACUCUGUUGUUAGAGAAGAACAAGGACGUUAGUAACUGAACGUCCCCUGACGGUAUCUAACCAGAAAGCCACGGCUAACUACGUGCCAGCAGCCGCGGUAAUACGUAGGUGGCAAGCGUUGUCCGGAUUUAUUGGGCGUAAAGCGAGCGCAGGCGGUUUCUUAAGUCUGAUGUGAAAGCCCCCGGCUCAACCGGGGAGGGUCAUUGGAAACUGGGAGACUUGAGUGCCGAAGAGGAGAGUGGAAUUCCAUGUGUAGCGGUGAAAUGCGUAGAUAUAUGGAGGAACACCAGUGGCGAAAGCGGCUCUCUGGUCUGUAACUGACGCUGAGGCUCGAAAGCGUGGGGAGCAAACAGG